CCUACGGGUGGCAGCAGUGGGGAAUAUUGGACAAUGGGGGGAACCCUGAUCCAGCGACGCCGCGUGAGUGAAGAAGGAUUUCGGUAUGUAAAGCUCUAUCAGCAGGGAAGAAAGAAAUGACGGUACCUGACUAAGAAGCCCCGGCUAACUACGUGCCAGCAGCCGCGGUAAUACGUAGGGGGCAAGCGUUAUCCGGAUUUACUGGGUGUAAAGGGAGCGUAGACGGCGAUGCAAGUCUGAAGUGAAAGGCGGGGGCUCAACCUCCGGACUGCUUUGGAAACUGUAUGGCUGGAGUGCAGGAGAGGUAAGUGGAAUUCCUAGUGUAGCGGUGAAAUGCGUAGAUAUUAGGAGGAACACCAGUGGCGAAGGCGGCUUACUGGACUGUAACUGACGUUGAGGCUCGAAAGCGUGGGGAGCAAACAGGAUUAGAUACCCGUGUAGUC
rnacentral:rRNA from 1 species